GUGCCAGCAGCCGCGGUAAUACGUAGGGUGCAAGCGUUAUCCGGAAUUAUUGGGCGUAAAGAGCUCGUAGGCGGUUUGUCGCGUCUGCUGUGAAAUCUGGGGGCUCAACCCCCAGCCUGCAGUGGGUACGGGCAGACUAGAGUGCGGUAGGGGAGAUUGGAAUUCCUGGUGUAGCGGUGGAAUGCGCAGAUAUCAGGAGGAACACCGAUGGCGAAGGCAGAUCUCUGGGCCGUAACUGACGCUGAGGAGCGAAAGGGUGGGGAGCAAACAGGCUUAGAUACCCUGGUAGUCCACCCCGUAAACGUUGGGAACUAGUUGUGGGGUCCAUUCCACGGAUUCCGUGACGCAGCUAACGCAUUAAGUUCCCCGCCUGGGGAGUACGGCCGCAAGGCUAAAACUCAAAGGAAUUGACGG
rnacentral:rRNA from 1 species